GUGCCCUUGGCCGAUCGGGAAGGUGCCUGCCUUCCAAGCAGGCGAGGUGGGUUCGAUUCCCACAGGGCACU
rnacentral:tRNA from 1 species